rnacentral:rRNA from 1 species
CAUGCAUUGGAUCCCAUCAAAAGUAUACAAUUAAGUGAGAUUGGGCUAGAGUAGUACCAGGAUGGGUGACCUCACAAGAAGUCCUAGUAUUUUACAUGC